UACAGAGGGUGCAAGCGUUAAUCGGAAUUACUGGGCGUAAAGCGUGCGUAGACGGUUGCGUAAGUCAGAUGUGAAAGCCCCGGGCUCAACCUGGGAAUUGCAUUUGAGACUGCGUAGCUAGGGUGCGGAAGAGGGAAGCGGAAUUCCGGUGUAGCGGUGAAAUGCGUAGAUAUCGGAAGGAACACCAGUGGCGAAAGCGGCUUCCUGGUCCAGCACCGACGUUCAGGCACGAAAGCGUGGGGAGCAAACAGGG
rnacentral:rRNA from 1 species